UAAAAUGGGUAUAAAUGGUACUUACCAUGUAAGUUAAUUGUGAGGGUUAAAUGAGUUGAUACAUAAAAACCCCUUCGAACAGUUCCUGGAUAAUAGUAAACACUCAGAAAAUAUUGUUCGUCAUCAUCAUCAUUAUCAUAAAUGACCAAGAUUUAGGAGGGCAAAUAUGUGUUCCCGCUAAUCACCACCUCGUUUUUCUGUGACCACACAUGUUCUUGAGAGUGAAAAGAGAUAGGCUUGGGUGGUAUGGUUGACAGUGCUGUUCCAUGAAAGGGCCCUAUGUGCAAAGCGACCCCCAAAUGUAGAAGGAGCCAAGAAACCAAAGAAAGAGGCAGACAAAUCCAGUUUGUCAGUUUUGGAUGAUUUAUUAGGGGGAACUUACAGGCAGAAGCAAGGUCUUGGGUGGUCCCAAGGCAGGCAGAUCUCUGCACCACAAAACCCUCCCAGACCCAGGGCUUAUCUCUUGAAGAAAAUGCAUACGUUUGGCUCACUGCAACCUCCGCCACACAGAUUGGAAAAAAAAAAAGAAGAAAAUGCAUACGUGCUCUGGAAGGGAUGCGUAAUGGCUAUGGGUGUCACAGUUUUUAUUUCUGCAACUACAAGAGUUGUUUUGGAGGAAACUUAGAAUGAAUAGGUGUUCCUACAUAAAGAGUAAUCUAUCAACUAGACAUUUUGGAGGCAUUCCUGGACUCAGGGUUACUCAGAAAUUACAUGGCGAAUUAGCAUUUAAAAUAAAGUUAUUCUCGUUCCCACAAGUACAAGUGUUCACUGACAUCCAAUCCACUUCUUCUAGCGAUGUGGAAGACUCCUUCCUGGAAUAUGGGCAGGCUCAUGAGUGUAGCACUGGUCAAUGAAAUGUGAGUGGAUGUGGCUUAUGUAUCCAAUUCUGGGCUUAGACAGUUAAAAGCCCAGACACGAUUCUUCAGUUUCUUUUCCUGUGUCACAGAAACCAAGAAAUUCAUAUGUUUUGCAAGCUGCAGUUAUAAGGUCAGGGUGAGGGGGGCCCAUGUGGGCCUGGGCUCUUGAGUGACUGUGGAGCAGAGCUGCACUGACUCUUAUCCAUUGGUAGCACAAGUGAAAAAUAAACUUCUGUGGUGUGAAGUCACUGAGAUUCAGGAGUGGUUACCAAAGCAGAGCCGAGCUCAGUGGCUCUCAGUCUGGACCCAGGUGAGUAUCUGAGGAUGCUUUACAGAUGCAAACCCUCAGCCUUCACCCUAGGCAAGCUGAAUCAGAGGCUGAGUGUGGGGCCAGCAAUCUGGGUUUUAACAACUCCCCCAGGUAAUUCUGAUCUAGCUCAGGCUUGAGAACCACAGCUGUAAUUGAUCUUGAAUGAAACAGGUGCCAGAAGCCUCAGGUGAGAUCCCACUCUCCAGUUACACAGGGAGCUUGCCCCAGACGCCACCAGUGUUUGGGAUGAUCCAUUCUGCUUUACUUCUUUCCUUUGUAGAGAUAUUUAAGCACUAAACACCUGAGAAUAUUUAACUACAAAUACACUGAUGUGGUUUGGCUGUGUCCCCACCCCAAUGUCAUCUUGAAUUGUAGCUCCCACAAUUCCCAUGUGUUGUGGGAGAAACCUGGUGGGAAAUAAUUGAAUCAUUGGGGCGCUUUCCCCCAGACUGUUCUCAUUGUGGUGAAUAAGUCUCACGAGAUCUGAUGGUUUCAUAAGGGGAAACCCCUUUCGUUUGACUCUCAUUCUUUUUUUGCCUGCCACCACCGAGGACGUACCUUUGGUCUUCCCUCGUCUCCCACCAUGAUGGUGAGGCCUCCACAGCCCUGCUGAACUCUCGUCACUGGCUACCUUCUACUCCCUCCGAGCCUCGGCAUUCCUGUCUGUAGAAUGGGGAGAUUGUUCCUCUUCCUUCCCUGUCCCACACCACUGAGUGCAGACUUCAUAUAAGCCAUCUCUGACCACACUCUCUGAGUACCUUACCAGGAAGAGACUCUUCUAUGCAAAGAACACUAUGGCUUGGUUUCCUCAAGCCACAUGGUC